rnacentral:rRNA from 1 species
GACGAACGCUGGCGGCGUGCCUAAUACAUGCAAGUCGAGCGAAUCACUGGGAGCUUGCUCCCGGUGGUUAGCGGCGGACGGGUGAGUAACACGUGGGCAACCUGCCUGUAAGACUGGGAUAACACCGGGAAACCGGUGCUAAUACCGGGUAAUCCUUUUCCUCUCAUGGGGAAAAGCUGAAAGUCGGUUUCGGCUGACACUUACAGAUGGGCCCGCGGCGCAUUAGCUAGUUGGUGAGGUAACGGCUCACCAAGGCGACGAUGCGUAGCCGACCUGAGAGGGUGAUCGGCCACACUGGGACUGAGACACGGCCCAGACUCCUACGGGAGGCAGCAGUAGGGAAUCUUCCACAAUGGACGAAAGUCUGAUGGAGCAACGCCGCGUGAGCGAUGAAGGCCUUCGGGUCGUAAAGCUCUGUUGUUAGGGAAGAACAAGUACCGGAGUAACUGCCGGUACCUUGACGGUACCUAACCAGAAAGCCACGGCUAACUACGUGCCAGCCGCCGCAGUAACAC